UUACCUGAGGUGUUCGCCAGCGGAUUACGUCCCUGAGCCGAUACUUAAAACUUUAUGAAUUGGUACCCUAUUGUUGGUGUGUAUGCUUGCCUUGGUGUUUACCCUGAAGCAAGAAACCUGAAAACGAUGACAACCGAUUCCCUUGAACCGUAGGGUUCAAGGACCGACCAUCCGUAGCGGCAUCUCGGGGCU
rnacentral:other from 1 species